rnacentral:lncRNA from 10 species
GGAAGAAGGCUUUAAUUGGGCGCUGCCGCUGAGGAGAUGGUUCAAUCUCAAAUCCAUCUCCUUGACCAGCUAAAAUCAGGGGUUUAAAUAACAGGGAAGAAAUGUAACAAUGUGUAAGAAAACAGGAACUAGGGAGGGGCAAGGAAGCAGUCAUGAUGAAUGAGAGGUCCAUUAUCUCAUUGUCUGGAUGUGAUGAUCUGGCACUAUUACUGCUGGAGAUUCAGCAUGAACCAGACAGAUAAACACUUCCUGCCUCGGCCCUGAGCCCUCAGGAAACUUUCAAUCUAGGGAGGGAGAAAGACAAUAAACAAAAGAAAUGGGAGAAUGGCGUGAACCCGGCAGACGGAAUUUGCAGUGAGCCGAGAUCGCGCCACUGCACUCCAG